rnacentral:snRNA from 1 species
GUGCUUUUUUCAGCAAUACAUAUACUAAAAUUGGAAUGACACAGAAGAUUAGCAUGUACACUAAGUAAGGAUCAAAGCAAAUUCAUGAAGCAUUCAUAUUUGUU